ACAACAACAAUCCGACAACAAGGAAGGCACGCAUGGGGCCUUGCCUGUGGCUUUGGUUUUACAGAUGCUAUGCGAAUAGUUUGAGCUGCUUUAAAGUAGAUGUAAAAAUGCAGACCAUUUGGACGUUUUAGGUGCAACGGUUAAACAUUCAUAAUGGGAGUGGCAUUUCCCGACACGGCACAUUACUACAGCUGGGCUGAGUUAAGUACCCAAGGAAUACAAUUGUCAACUGUUUGCACAGCGUUGGCUACAGCGGCGAACUGGGCCUCAGCUCAAAGCCGGUCGUCAGGCGUCACGGCGUGCUCCGUGUCGCAGGAGCUGUUGAAGCACAUCGCGUUGGGCCACCUCUACGAACCGCUUCACUUCACGUACAACCUCAAGACCGGCUACCACAAUGCGGCCGUCAUCAGGAAAUGCAUCGAGCUGCUGGAUGCCAGAGCACUGAGCUUUCCCGAAAUACGCAGCGUUGCUCUGGCUUUCACGGCGUACGACCACUUGGACCAGAAAGGGAUUGAGGUGGAGGAACGAACCCUAAUACGGGCACUCAAGAUGUGCGGACGGAUCACAGCGCCACGGCGGUUAAUGCAGCACAUCCACAGCAAGCAAAGCGAAGGAUACGUGGAACCCGGCAGAAUCCAGAUGUACGAAUUCAUGGACCUCCUGCCUCUCUGCGUGGCUUUGGACACCAUUCACCUGCACGAAGCGAGGGUUGGAACCACGGAAAAAAGCUUCAGAGGGAUUUACGAGCUGGACGACAUGAAGGCCCUGCUGAUGACCCUCGACGCCAAGCGACUGCAGCACAUGAACAAGCUGUACCGGCAAGAGCAGCGAGCCCAGCGCGAGCAGCGUGGUGGAAGCGCCGCUGUCAAGACCUUCGGCGGGGCAGACGAGCCAUGGAAGCAGCAGAUGGAGGCUGAGAAAUCGCAUCACCAGAUGCUGAAGCAACAACUGCAACUCUCUGCUAUUCAGCUGCGCGGGGCGCGCACGCGCGACUCGCUCCGGACGUCGAGGCCCACGACCGCUCCGAUGUUCCCGAGCCGCCCGACGAGCCACAGGAGUUUGCGAGCGUCCUCCCAGGCAGCCCGCCGGACGUGCCCUCGCAGCGCCGCCGCUGUUCACGCGACGCCCGCCCAGGAGACGCCCACGACACCCUCCGCCGAAGCCUCCGACGGCGCCACCGCUCUGGUCUCCCGGCAGAUGACGCCAGCAACAGAAAAAAUGCAUUUAAAAUUUGCAGAUGCUGUUAAAGAUCACGUGACUUCCACGGAUGAACCUACGCUGUCUGGCACUCAUGACCAGCCAGAGAAGGGCAGAUGGGCACUGAAGAAGACGCUGGGCCAUCGAUUUCCAGGAUACAGGGACCAUUUUGCCCCAAGGCCUCUCACAGGUGCCACUGACAAUUGAAUUUGACAACCUCAUCUUUCCAACAGCAUUCUGUGCACUCGGGCAUAUUUUAGCCAGCGUUCCAGAGCAAGGCCUGAUUUUUGGUACUGAACCGAUCCAAUUGCCACUGAUAAAUAUUGUCUUGAGAUGUUGCGAUGCCUUCUCCGCCAGAGGGACGAUAAGAGCCAACAGAAGUUGUAAACUCGGUGUGCAACACGAGUGCAGACAUUGUUAUCAAUUUCAGAGUGUGUGUGCAGAAAGACUCCAUGCAUAGUGCUAAUUCAGAAUCAGAAUAUUUAUUUAUCCUGGAGGAAUCCGAUGAACUCUGAAGCUCUCUUUCACAGAUUUCCAGUAGGGGCGGGUCAGAACGUUACGAAAAAAAGACAUAAAUACGAUAGCAGUGCAAAGUAUAGGAAAGUUAAACAAUCACACGAAAAAAUUCAACUUAACUAUUUUGAUUUUACCAGGUGAAGUCCCCUUCUUUUUCUGUGGCGGUCUGGCCACAAAUGAUAGCUCAACGAAGUAGAUUAUAAUCACGUGGACAUUUAAAGCAGCCAAAUUGGCUCGCCACUCACUGCCCGUGCUCUUUCCCAUGUGCGUGCUGCCACAUGCAGAACGCUGCGGUGCUGCAGGAUCAUCACGUACUGUAUAAUAUCCACCUCUUUACCGCCCUACAUGCUUCACGAUGCACAGCUGAACAUGCGUGCACCGACUGCCUUGCAAUCUUCAGCAGCGUUCUUCAUUAGCAAGACCCGCGGUGCCACUGGCUUCCCCUGGUGGCCUUUAGUGCGGCCCCUGACGUGCGGCCCCCUAAAAUACACAAAAUGGCCCCCCCUCUGAAAACGAGUGAAGAAGCCUGGUCUGCAGGGUGGUCCAGGUGUCGUGUGACCCCAACUUAAUUGACCUCUAACUGUUUUUUCAUUCGCAUAUAUAUAUUCUGUUUUAAAUAAAAUGCACUUACAAAAAUAUUACGUUUUAGAGAAUUAAAUGGGAGUCACAAGACAUCUGGACAAUCCUUUACAGCUAAAUGACGCUAUUCAGAAGGGUCAUUGCCCGAAACGUCGCCUAUUAUAUAUUUUU